AUUGAACGCUGGCGGCAGGCCUAACACAUGCAAGUCGAGCGGAUGAAGGGAGCUUGCUCCUGGAUUCAGCGGCGGACGGGUGAGUAAUGCCUAGGAAUCUGCCUGGUAGUGGGGGAUAGCGUCCGGACACGGGCGCUAAUACCGCAUACGUCCUGAGGGAGAAAGUGGGGGAUCUUCGGACCUCACGCUAUCAGAUGAGCCUAGGUCGGAUUAGCUAGUUGGUGGGGUAAAGGCCUACCAAGGCGACGAUCCGUAACUGGUCUGAGAGGAUGAUCAGUCACACUGGAACUGAGACACGGUCCAGACUCCUACGGGAGGCAGCAGUGGGGAAUAUUGGACAAUGGGCGAAAGCCUGAUCCAGCCAUGCCGCGUGUGUGAAGAAGGUCUUCGGAUUGUAAAGCACUUUAAGUUGGGAGGAAGGGCAGUAAGUUAAUACCUUGCUGUUUUGACGUUACCAACAGAAUAAGCACCGGCUAACUUCGUG
rnacentral:rRNA from 1 species